rnacentral:rRNA from 1 species
ACGGUACCGUACCAAUAAGGAUCGGCUAACUCCGUGCCAGCAGCCGCGGUAAUACGGAGGAUCCAAGCGUUAUCCGGAAUCAUUGGGUUUAAAGGGUCCGGAGCGGUUGAACUUUCAGUGGUGAAAUCCGGCCCCUUGACUGUCCAACUGCCCUUGAUACUGUUUAACUUGAAUUACUGUCAAGUAACUAGAAUAUGUAUCGUAGCGUUGAAAUGCUUAGAUAUUACAUGGAAUACCACUUGCGAAGGCAGGUUACUUCUGGUUUAUUGACCCUGAUCGAAGAAUCCGUGGGGAGCGAACCGGAUUAGAUACCCUGGUAGUCCACUCUGUAAACGAUGGAUACUACCUGUUGGGAGUAAUUUCAGUGGCUAAUCUGUGCCGAUAAGUAUCCCACCUGGGGAGUACGAACGCAAGUUUGAAACUCAAAGGAAUUGACGGGGGCCCGCACAAGCGGUGGAGCAUGUGGUUUAAUUCGAUGAUACUCGAGGAACCUUACCAAGGCUUAAAUGGGAAACGACUCACCUGACAACAUAUUUAUUCUUCG